rnacentral:lncRNA from 10 species
CAUUGAACGAUGACAAAUUGUGAUUCACUUGUAGCAUAAAUUAUAAAAUACAUACACUGUAUAAAUAAGUCCUGAGAUGGAGAGGGGAAAAGAACUUCUGCCACAUCUGGGCCCACGAGAAUCAUGAGUGCAGGUGCCUGUUUCUAGAUGGAAGAGCAACUAGGUUAUCCAAAAUGGAUGCUGAGCAGAUUUUUAAAAUUCUCUGGGAAAAAGAAGAUCACAAUUCCUCCUAGUAACUAAUUUAUAUCUUUAGUUACUCUUUCUAGCCAUUAAGCCCCAUGCUAAAACUACCCUAAAUCUCUCCUGUUCUAAACUGGCCUUGGUGGUUGCGGGUGGGCAAAUUGUUUUUUCAUUAUUGAAAAAUAUAAAUCCUUCAUAUAUUUGCACAGAGUUAUUCUUAUACUAAGCUCAGAAUGGAAACCAGGCAGUUCUCCUCUCCCUUCCAGAAUGAGAAUUCUCCACCUCUCCAUCCAAGUUACAGAAAGAAAGAAACAUUUUGAGGCUCUGGCAUCAUGUUUUCCUGUUUUCAUGGGGUCAGCUAUAGACUCAGUGAAGAGUUUACAUGUUCACGUCUUUAAAAAAACACUCAAAGGGUUAAAAACUGGAGGUUUGACAUUUCCAUAAUAAGUGUUCUAAAUGCUUGUAUUGAUAUAUAUUUUGUUCUAGAAUAAACUCAGGUACAAAAUAUAAUAUUUGUAAGUUGUUCUGCCAGCCAAACUGUUCUCCUUCAUUUAUAAAUGAAGUUGCUAAGUGUUCAACAACUGAUUGCCAUAAAUGAAUGGGGUAUGACAUCCUUCCAAGUCUCCAAAGAGUUGCUACAACUUGGUUUUCCCCUUGGGAGAAAAAAAAAGUUAUUGUUCUAAUUGAUUUUUUCUGUUCUGAAUAGAAAAAAAUAAAUUAGAUCCUUCCUUCCUUCCUUCCUCCCUCCCUCCUUCUUUCCUUCUUUCUUUCUUUUCUUUCUUUCUUUCUCUUUCUUUUUUCUUUUCUUUUUUUUCUUUCUGUUUUCCUAUUUCUGCAUUCCUACAGGAAGAGAGAAGGAAUAUUGUGCUUUUCAUCAACCACAGCAAGAGUCAUUUGAGUUUGAAACACAGCUAGUUUUUAAGGAAACUAUACCAUGGUCUUCUGGAAUGGGAAAAGCUUUUUCUUUCAAGGGACAAAAGCCUCAUGAAUGGCAUUAGUGUCCUUAUAAAAGGGACUGCAG